AAGUGUUUUCUCUUGGAGCAAACGUUUAGUCAUCGGCUGAUGUUGCUGUGCUGUGCAAUGUGCAGCCAUUCAUAACCGUUCAGAAACAACGACCAGCAAGUUCUGGUGGAUUGGAUUUUCAAAUCGAUCAUUACUGAUGAUAGGCAUCUCGGAUUUCUCUGCAUCCAGCCAACCAUCGAUUGAUUACUGUAGUAGGGAGGGGGAGUAAAGGUAGGGAGGGAGUGAAUUGUUGUUUGCUUGUUUCCCUGCCCAACGACACAAAAACUCCUUUCACAGUCACCUAGUCAGAAGGUCUGGGUUAUCACAGAAAGCCCUUGAGAACGUUCCUUUCGUUCCAGAAGUGUUUUAUCGCAAAGAUGCUGUGUUAUCCUAUUUUAUGUUAGUUCCAUCUUCAGCGCGGGCUGUGAGUCAACGGGCAUGCAGCCGUUUGUGGGUAGUUCAGAAACGUGUUCAGGAACCUGUACAACUUCUUGGUUUUGGCCUAUUUUGAGAUGAUUACAAAUUUAGAUAUAUCUGAAAUUCUUGGAACCUGGUCAACAAAAAUUCUCAUUCGGUUUGUGAGCCUGUUCAGCAAGACUUAGACUAUUCAAAGUGGGGUCUUGAAGCCUGCCGAAAUCAGACUACUGAAAAUAGCGGAUCGCCCUUGACAGCAGGCAUGGCGACACGUACACGUACACGCCGCAAUAAAGCACGCGACUGGACGGUUGGUGACCUCUACAGGGUUCAAUAGCGCCCGUGAUGAGGGUCAUGGCGAUUUACACAAGCAUCAACUAUGCGUUGAUGUGCCUCAGCGUUGUACUCAUCGGAGGGUUGGCCGGGGGAUUGCUGUACCUGUGUUUACGAGAAAUACAUCAAUCGCGGCAGAAACAAAAAGACCAGGUGCACCUCAUUUUACAGCGACGCCGCCAGGGCUUCAGCGGGCAGUCAGGAGGUCUCCACAAUAACAACCAUUUGGCAGGUGACCAGGAAGGUGACUACGAGAGCAGCGACGACGACGACGACACUGCGUGGGACGUGGACACUCAGCCCCGCUGCGGCAGCAGACUGCAGGUGCCGGGCGUAAUGACGUCACAAAGGCUCAGUUCGGAUGACAUUGCCUGAAGUCGAACUUUUGCCAUCGGAAGAAAAUGUUUCACAAGACACCACUUGUUAUCACGUGGAACAGGAUGAGUUUGCACACAAAGCUAAAUAUGGAAUAGGUUCGACAAACUCAAACUUCAAAGCUCAUUUUGGGGUUUUUUUCCCCUCGUAACGAGGAUUCGAACCACCAGCUCGCGCUGUUCUGAGUAUAACGCUGACCUGUUCUUUGGCGUUUCCGUGUCGUGCUUCCUUCUGUACAAUGACAUUAUACUACACACAAUGUGAACGUCGAUGAGAUUCUGCUAAUACCGGACGAAAAACUACGCAAGAGGGGCGAGUAAAGUGAAUACGUAUGUUACUGUUACAAGGUCCGUAGUUUUCAGACUCUUCCAGAACAGUCUCUCUCACUUUCACAAGCGGUUCAGACACCAGUAGAUGCACCGGUUCCAUACCAGUGACAGACAUAUUCGGCUUCUGAUUUCCAGGUAAUCGAAAGUACUCAGAAAAAGAAUUGUUAUUAAGCAAAUAAAGUAACAAUACAUGUCAUACUGUAUGUUUUUUAUUUGACAAAAGCAAGGAAUGUGAUCAUCACAAUUAUAUGACUUUCUCUUAUGACAAAAUUUAGCACAGCCUACCGUUAUCUGUAUUUCCGAUUAUUCUACAUUUAAAGUUGUUCACAUUCCUUA
rnacentral:lncRNA from 1 species